CCUANGGGUGGCAGCAGGGAGGAAUAUUGCACAAUGGGCGAAAGCCUGAUGCAGCAACGCCGCGUGAAGGAAGAAGGCCUUCGGGUCGUAAACUUCUUUUGAGGGAGACGAGAAAGGACGGUAUCCCUCGAAUAAGCCACGGCUAACUACGUGCCAGCAGCCGCGGUAAAACGUAGGUGGCGAGCGUUAUCCGGAUUCAUUGGGCGUAAAGAGCUUGUAGGUGGCUGUGUAAGUUGGACGUGAAAACUCCGGGCUUAACUUGGAGAGGCCGUUCAAUACUGCGCGGCUAGAGGAUGUUAGAGGGGAGUGGAAUUCCUGGUGUAGCAGUGAAAUGCGUAGAUAUCUGGAGGAACACCGGUGGCGAAGGCGGCGUCCUGGACCGAGAUUGACACUGAGGAGCGAAAGCCAGGGGAGCAAACGGGAUUAGAUACCCGUNUANUC
rnacentral:rRNA from 1 species